GCCUGGGUGGCUGAGUCAGUUAAGCAUCUGACUUCAGCUCAGGUCAUGAUCUCAAAGUUUGUGAGUUCAAACCCCACGUUGGGUU
rnacentral:tRNA from 1 species